GUGGGGAAUAUUGGACAAUGGGCGCAAGCCUGAUCCAGCCAUGCCGCGUGUGUGAAGAAGGCCUUUUGGUUGUAAAGCACUUUAAGCGAGGAGGAGGCUACCGAGAUUAAUACUCUUGGAUAGUGGACGUUACUCGCAGAAUAAGCACCGGCUAACUCUGUGCCAGCCGCCGCGGUAAUACAGAGGGUGCAAGCGUUAAUCGGAUUUACUGGGCGUAAAGCGCGCGUAGGUGGCCAAUUAAGUCAAAUGUGAAAUCCCCGAGCUUAACUUGGGAAUUGCAUUCGAUACUGGUUGGCUAGAGUAUUGGAGAGGAUGGUAGAAUUCCAGGUGUAGCGGUGAAAUGCGUAGAGAUCUGGAGGAAUACCGAUGGCGAAGGCAGCCAUCUGGCCUAAUACUGACACUGAGGUGCGAAAGCAUGGGGAGCAAACAGGAUUAGAAACCCGGGUAGUCC
rnacentral:rRNA from 1 species